rnacentral:rRNA from 1 species
UGCUUAACACAUGCAAGUCGAACGAUGAAGCCCAGCUUGCUGGGUGGAUUAGUGGCGAACGGGUGAGUAACACGUGAGUAACCUGCCCAUGACUCUGGGAUAAGCGCUGGAAACGGCGUCUAAUACCGGAUACGACCUACCCCGGCAUCGGGUGUGGGUGGAAAGUUUUUCGGUCAAGGAUGGACUCGCGGCCUAUCAGCUUGUUGGUGAGGUAAUGGCUCACCAAGGCGACGACGGGUAGCCGGCCUGAGAGGGUGACCGGCCACACUGGGACUGAGACACGGCCCAGACUCCUACGGGAGGCAGCAGUGGGGAAUAUUGCACAAUGGGCGAAAGCCUGAUGCAGCAACGCCGCGUGAGGGAUGACGGCCUUCGGGUUGUAAACCUCUUUUAGUAGGGAAGAAGGGCUUCGGCUUGACGGUACCUGCAGAAAAAGCACCGGCUAACUACGUGCCAGCAGCCGCGGUAAUACGUAGGGUGCAAGCGUUGUCCGGAAUUAUUGGGCGUAAAGAGCUCGUAGGCGGUUUGUCGCGUCUGCUGUGAAAACCCGAGGCUCAACCUCGGGCCUGCAGUGGGUACGGGCAGACUAGAGUGCGGUAGGGGAGAAUGGAAUUCCUGGUGUAGCGGUGGAAUGCGCAGAUAUCAGGAGGAACACCGAUGGCGAAGGCAGUUCUCUGGGCCGUAACUGACGCUGAGGAGCGAAAGCGUGGGGAGCGAACAGGAUUAGAUACCCUGGUAGUCCACGCCGUAAACGUUGGGCGCUAGAUGUGGGGACCUUUCCACGGUUUCCGUGUCGCAGCUAACGCAUUAAGCGCCCCGCCUGGGGAGUACGGCCGCAAGGCUAAAACUCAAAGGAAUUGACGGGGGCCCGCACAAGCGGCGGAGCAUGCGGAUUAAUUCGAUGCAACGCGAAGAACCUUACCAAGGCUUGACAUAUACGAGAACGGGCCAGAAAUGGUCAACUCUUUGGACACUCGUAAACAGGUGGUGCAUGGUUGUCGUCAGCUCGUGUCGUGAGAUGUUGGGUUAAGUCCCGCAACGAGCGCAACCCUCGUUCUAUGUUGCCAGCACGUUAUGGUGGGAACUCAUAGGAGACUGCCGGGGUCAACUCGGAGGAAGGUGGGGAUGACGUCAAAUCAUCAUGCCCCUUAUGUCUUGGGCUUCACGCAUGCUACAAUGGCCGGUACAAAGGGCUGCGAUACCGUAAGGUGGAGCGAAUCCCAAAAAGCCGGUCUCAGUUCGGAUUGAGGUCUGCAACUCGACCUCAUGAAGUCGGAGUCGCUAGUAAUCGCAGAUCAGCAACGCUGCGGUGAAUACGUUCCCGGGCCUUGUACACACCGCCCGUCAAGUCAUGAAAGUCGGUAACACCCGAAGCCGGUGGCCUAACCUUUUGGAGGGAGCCGUCGAAGGUGGGAUCGGUGAUUAGGACUAAGUC